rnacentral:snRNA from 1 species
GUGCUUGCUUCGGCAGCACAUAUACUAAAAUUGGAAUGAUACAGAGAAGAUUAGCAUAGCCCCUGCGCAAGGAUGAGAUGCAAAUAUGUGAAGCGUUCUAUAUUUAA